AGAGUUUGAUCCUGGCUCAGGAUGAACGCCGGCGGCGUGCUUAACACAUGCAAGUCGAACGGAACACCCUAGAAGGAGUUUUCGGACAACUGAUAGGACUGUUUAGUGGCGGACGGGUGAGUAACGCGUGAGUAACCUGCCUUGGAGUGGGGAAUAACAGUUGGAAACAGCUGCUAAUACCGCAUAAUAUAUCUGGGUCGCAUGGCUCUGGAUAUCAAAGAUUUAUCGCUCUGAGAUGGACUCGCGUCUGAUUAGCUGGUUGGCGGGGUAACGGCCCACCAAGGCGACGAUCAGUAGCCGGACUGAGAGGUUGGCCGGCCACAUUGGGACUGAGACACGGCCCAGACUCCUACGGGAGGCAGCAGUGGGGAGUAUUGGGCAAUGGGCGCAAGCCUGACCCAGCAACGCCGCGUGAAGGAAGAAGGCUUUCGGGUUGUAAACUUCUUUUCUCAGGGACGAAGCAAGUGACGGUACCUGAGGAAUAAGCCACGGCUAACUACGUGC
rnacentral:rRNA from 1 species